GUCCGGGUGGCGGAAUUGGCAGACGCGCUAGCUUGAGGUGCUAGUGCCCGCAAGGGCUUAGGGGUUCAAGUCCCCUUUCGGACA
rnacentral:tRNA from 3 species